rnacentral:lncRNA from 1 species
AGCCCACUGUAGGUUUGGCCGUUCUACAUCAAUGAAGACAAUAGCUUGUGCCAACCUGAUAAGUACACAGACUGCACUGAGACUCAAUUAAGAGGGGAAUAUUUAUGCUGUGUCAGUUGGUCAUUCAUGCUAAGACAGGCAAGGAUCGGGCAGAGCUCCACCUAAUUUUGUUCUCUUCAGCCCCUUCCAGAGGUUGUACAAGGCCGGACACACUCGUACAUCCUCUGGGAUUGAAGAAGUGGUGUUCUCAUAUGAAAACCUCAGAUACCUUGAAAUCAGGUUCAACCUGAUCCCGUGUUCACUUCCACCCACGUGCAGGACUGACCACGGCAUACAACCUCCCACCCUGGAGCAAUGUGAAGGUGAACCUCCUCACACGGUGAAGCCUGCACCUUCAAUCCCUGGUCCUGGACUUCAGGGCUGGGUUCACACAGGUCUCACUCUGGAACCCCACAGUGGUGGCGGCAAGAAGACUGCCAGCUGAGUUCAUGCAGGAGAAAGUAGAGCAUUUGAGAUGCUAAAGAGAGCGGCUAAGGAGGUCAGCCUGCCUCGUGGGUGUUGAGAGCGCUUGGAGUUGGCCAUCAGGGUUUUCUAGAAGGGAAGGAGUCGCAGGAACUCUGGCUGAUGCUAAUCAGGUCUCAGCUGAUCUCCAUCUUGGUCACCAGAAGUAAUUUCUCUGUGUAGCAAUGUUGUGUGACAGACUUUUCCUGGGGAGAGAUCACACACACACACACACACACACACACACACACACACACAUACUCAUCGCAGAAAGGGAGUCCAGGACAGACCAAUAAAUAAAUAAAUAAAUAGAUAAAUAGAUAAAUAAAUAAAUAAAUAAGGACUACACUGAAGUCUAACCUGGUGAGCAGAUGAGAUUUUGUUUUUGUAUAUUUAAAUUUUUUAUUUUAUGUGUAUGGGUGUUUUGUCUGCAUGUGUGCCUGUGAACCACACAGACGCAGAGCCUGGGCAGUCCAGAAGAAGGCACCAGAUCCCUUGGAGCUGGAGACACAGACGGUUUUGUGCUGCCAUGUCAGUCCUGGGACUUGAACCUGGGUACUCUGCAGGAGCAGGAGUGCUCUUAACUGUGGGGCCAUUGCUGGCCUUGAUGAACUAGUGAGUUUUUAAUGGGGCUAGCAGGAACAUAGGUGAGGGAUUAUGGGCACAGGACUGAUGUGUGCAGCUGUAUCUCUGAAAAGUUCACCAUAGCACAGGUGACACAUUGCGUUAUGGCACACAAAAGCAGCAACCCAGGAUCUCUGCAUAACUUACAGGCAGCUGGACAGGUCUGAGAACUCAGUCGGUACCUCUGCCUCCUCCAACACGUGGGCUCCUCCGAGUUUCCUCCCCAAGAUGUUGCUCCAGAUGUUUGCUGCUGCUUCCCAGAUGGUGUGCUGGCUGGUUUCUUGUCAACUUCACACAAGCUACAGUCACUCGGGAAGAGGGAACCUCAACUGAGAAAGUGUGUGUAUGAGCCUGGGGGACAUUUUCUUGAUAGUGUUUGAUGUGGGAGGGCCAGCCCAUCAUGGGCAGUGCCACCCUUGGGCAGGUAGUCUUGAAUCAUAUAAGAAAGCAGGCUGGGGGCUGGAGAGAUGGCUCAGCUGUUAAAGGCUAGGCUCACAACCAAAAAUAUAAAAAAGCAGGCUGGACAAGCCAUGAGGAUCAAGCCAGUAAGUAGUACUCCUUCAUAGUUAUCUUCAGUUCCUGCCUCCAGCUUCCUGCCCUGCCCUUCCUGGAUGAUGGACUACAAGCUGUAAGACAGAAUGAACCCAUCUCCUCCCCAAGUUGCUUUUGGUCAUGGUGGGCUUUAUUUUAACCACAGGAAUAGAAGCAGCAGGGAGGGGCUUUUGGGAAUCUUGCCAAGUCUCAGCAGUUCUAUCUCAUCUGACAGGCUCUGUGUGGCAGGGCAGGUCCCAAGGCUCCUCUCUGCAGGUGGUGUUUUGGCAAGCUAAGAAAUGCAUCCAGACUAUAUCUACUCAGUGUUUAGGCAGGUGGGUGCCAUUGCAAGGGACCAGCUUCUGGGUCCCAUGAUGUGCCAGGCAGUUCCCAACAAGCCAUUUCUGUGGGCAUCAAUUACCAUCACACCAAAAGCUUAGAGAUGUUGAACGAUCUGGCCAGCAUCACACAGCAGGUGGAUGUGGACCAGGAACUGGACACAAGCCUUUGAGGGACCAAUGGCCGACAGACAUUUCUUACUUGCUGGUUCCUGCCCUCACUGUUCCUUCCUCCUCCACAGGUUUGGUUUCUCCAGCAGAUGGGAAUGUUGCCACAGGGACCAGUCUCACCCCCAGGACAGAGCACUCAGCUGCCAGACUUUUGUUCCAAGUCAGGUUCAUGGCCAUAGAAGAGGCUCAGGUUUCACAGGCCAGGCUUUGCAGUACCAGCCCAGAUCAGAGCCCAGCACUGCAGAGCUGAGUGACCUAGAUCAGAGCCCAGCAUUGCAGAGCUGAGCCAGACACUAGACUGAGAUUGCCAACGUAGUUCUGACAUCCUGAUGAUUCUUCUUGUGUGCAGGUCCACAUGCAUACACGGAUGCACAGGUGUCUUCAAGUGUAUGUGUAUACCUCCUACACACGUAUGCACAUAUAUAUGUGUGCAUGUAGAGGACAGAGGGAAACAUUACUUGUCAUGCUUAGAUGCCACCCUGGAGACCUGGUAGGUUGGAAAUAGUUGGGCACCCCACACCAGACCACAGUCCCUCUCCCUGGCACCACAGCUGACAUCCAUUCCGAAAUUCCAUCUCUAAGAGAGAGUCUCACCAAAUAGUCUAGACUGGCUGGCCAUCAAGCCCUGGGAUGCCCCGUGUCUCUGUCAGUGUUGCAAUUAAUGAGCACACACCACUGCACAUGGCUAGUUAAUUAUUUUACAUAUAUUCAGUGUGUAUGUGUGCACAUGCCACAGUGUGUGUGUGUGUAGAAGUUAGGGCUCAACUUGUGGGCUCCACGUGGGCUCUGAGGACUCAAACUCAGGUCGUCAUGGUUGCAAGGCACACAAUUGAUCGAGCUAUCUGUCUUUCCAGCCUUCUUGUGACUGUGUAUCUUCCAGGUGCUUCCCAGAGCCUGCUGCACCCAGCUACUUGGCUCCAAAGAGGUAACGAAAGGACAGUCUAUUGAGAUAGGAGGCUCCAUAUCCCUCUGUGGCAGCAGCUGUUAGAAUGGCCUCAACUUCUCUGGGAUGAUUUCAAACCCAGUGGGGAAUCACAGCAAAGCAGGACUUUGGUGAAGUCUGGGGUAUAACAAAUGCUGAGUGACCACAACAAAACAAACAAUGCCAGAGGACUGGAGUUGAAUGCACAGUGCUUCCUAAAUAGUACCUGCUUCGAGUCCUGGCUGGGAAGUUGGACCAUCAUCCUGGGUAACUGGGAGGAAAUGAAGCCUAGGGAGACUAGAUUAAAUCCUGAGCGUACGUACUGUUGACAUGAACAGGACCACAGCAAGGACACCGAUGCCCGAGACCCAUGGGGAAUGGCAGGGCUUUCUCCUGGUCUGUGUACCCAUAUUGACAGUCAGUAUAUGCGGAAGCUAUCAACUACAGCUUUCCCUCUUCCUGGAUGAGUGACAGCUCCCUACAAUGUACCCCUACCAAGAUUUGCUAACUGGCCUCCUCCUCAUCCAGUUGUACUUAAUAAAUGCACCAAAAUU